GGGGGAACAGGGUGUGCAGGACACAGAGGGAACAAGAAUGGCCACAUGCUGGGAGCUGCUGAAGCUGGGUGAGGGGGACAUGGGUGUUCAUGAGACUUUUCUCUCCACUGUUGUAUGUUUUGGAAUUUCCCCUAAAAAAAAAAGUGUUUUCCUUCAAAUUCAAAUAACUAGGGAUGUUGGAAAAAAAUUUUUGGCAGCCGGAGAAGAAAGUAAUUUAAGCCCUUCUUCUGAAAGGAACCUGCACUAUUGGAAACGGGAGCAUCUCCUUUAAGAAUGGUGUCCAGGAGGAAGGGCGCUGAGGCACAGACCAUGGACCCAGCCCUAUUCCUGGGCUCCAGUCCCAGGGCUGCCACUUACUAGCUAUGGAACCUGAAGCAACUGAUUUCAACUCUAAACACCUCCCUGAAAAGCUGGGAUCCUAACAGUGGCUGCCUCCUGAGGGCUGUGUGAGGUGAUUGCUGAAUUAAUGCAGGCGAAGGGCUUGGACUGGUGCCUGGGAUGAAGCUGUGCCACGUAAAUGCUGGCAGAGAUGAUUGAAGCACGUGCCAGCCAGAUUUAACACCGCACAGGGGCUCACAGCGAAUGCAUCGACGGUUCCCUUACACAGAAUUCACUGUUUCAACAGUCGCCGAUAAGAGUAGAUGACAAGAAUUCUCCCAGCACCAAUGCCCUUCAGGAACCUUCCUUUGCCCUUACAGAACCCCUUUUAUGUAAGUCAGCUGCGCCAAUGCUUGGGAGACACCGUCUAAAUUACGUAAGUGGUGUUUUUAAUGGUAGCUGUGAAAAUUAAUGGUAGAAAAUUCCCUAAGUGGAUGUGAUUUCAGAAGGAAGCUUGAAAGUCCCUUCUAGGGUGACCAUCCCAGUGCACAGAGAAAUAGACCUCUGUCCUCUUCCUGCUGCUGUAGAAUUUUUUAAGGUAAUACAAAUGAUUCCUGAAAGGUUUCUUCCUCCUAAACACAAUGUGAUUUUUUUCUUAAUAUUUUCUCCCCCGACAGCUGCUGGUGUUAUGUUAGUAUUCAGUGCCAACAUGCCCGCUGCAAAAAAUUGUGUAACAUCCCACCACGCCAGGCUGCCCAAGAGGUCAAAUCUCCAAGCCAGACUGCUGGAUUGAGAAAAGCAAACAAAGGAAGAGGCGCUUAAGUCUCCCCUUGAGUACGGGCUGGACUGUGUGACUUGCUUCUAACAAGCAGAGUGAGGGAAGGGAAAAACUGUGACAUUACAGUUGGGAAACCUGGUGGGCGGCCCGUGGCACAGGGCGGCAGGUCACCAUCACCUGAGCGUACUCCUCCCCACACCUGCCAGCCCGGUCUAACCAUGAGGAAAGUUAGUCCCCGACAGAGGGGCAUUCUACGCAAUACCUGACCAGCGCUCCUCAAAACUGUCAAGGUCAUGAAAAACAAAAGACUGAGAAACUGUCACAGAGUGGAGGAGACCAAGGAGACAUGAUGAACGGAUGUGACACGGUAUCCUGGACUGGAUCUUGGAACAGAAGAACAUCAGUGGAAAAACGGGCAGAUGUAAGAAAGCCGGGAGUUCCCUCAGUAGGAUACACAUCAGUGUUAAUUUCUCAGUUUUGACAAAUGUUACUUUAAGUAAGACACGAACAUGGGAAGAGGCUGAAUAUAAAGCAUAUGGGAAGUCCCUACUGUGUGCCUUUUCUGUAAAUCUAAAGUUAUUAAAUAAAAGUUUUUGUGAAGUACCUCCUGACUUGGCUACAAGUAGUCACCAUCAGAGUCCCUAAGUCCCUACAUCUGCCUCUUUAGC